AUGGCUCAAGACAACGCUGGCGGCGUGCUUACACAUGCAAGUGGAGCGACGAACCAGGGCUUGCCCUGGGGCAGAGCCGCGAACGGGUGAGUAACACGUGGGUAACCUGCCUCGAUGAUCGGGACAACCCGGGGAAACCCGAGCUAAUACCGAAUGUGCCCCGUCCACAUCAGUGGACGGUGUAAAGGAAGCUUCGGCCUCCGCAUCGAGAUGGGCCCGCGGCCCAUUAGCUUGUUGGUGGGGUAAAGGCCCACCAAGGCUUCGAUGGGUAGCUGGUCUGAGAGGACGAUCAGCCACACUGGGACUGAGACACGGCCCAGACUCCUACGGGAGGCAGCAGUGGGGAAUCUUGCGCAAUGCGCGAAAGCGUGACGCAGCAACGCCGCGUGGGGGAAGACGGCCUUAGGGUUGUAAACCCCUUUCAGGAGGGACGAAGGCCGGCGCGUUAAUAGCGUGUCCGGCUGACGGUACCUCCACAAGAAGCCCCGGCUAACUACGUGCCAGCAGCCGCGGUAAUACGUAGGGGGCAAGCGUUGUCCGGAAUUAUUGGGCGUAAAGAGCGUGUAGGCGGUCCGGUAAGUCAGCUGUGAAAGUCAAGGGCUCAACCCUUGAAUGCCGGUUGAUACUGUCGGGCUAGAGUCCGGAAGAGGCGAGUGGAAUUCCCGGUGUAGCGGUGAAAUGCGCAGAUAUCGGGAGGAACACCAAUGGCGAAGGCA
rnacentral:rRNA from 1 species